ensembl:snRNA U6 U6 spliceosomal RNA
UGGCAGCACAUAUACUAAAAUUCUAAAAUUGGAAUGAUACAAAGAAGAUUAGCAUGUUCAAGGAUAACACUGCAAAUUUGUGAAGCCUUCCAUAUUUUU